rnacentral:lncRNA from 1 species
CUCAGCCUCCUGAGUAGCCGGACUACAGGCGCCGGCCACCCCACCGCGCUAAUUUUUUUGUAUUUUUUAGUAGAGACGGGGUUUUGUGUCCGGAAUUGGUGGGUUCUUGGUCUCACUGACUUCAAGAAUGAAGCCGCGGACCCUCGCAGUGAGUGCUACAGCUUUUAAGGUGGCGCCUUUGGAGUUUGUUCCUUCUGAUGUUCGGAUGUGUUCGGAGUUUCUUCCUUCUGGUGGGUUCGUGAUCUCGCUGGCUCAGGAGUGAAGCUGCAGACCUUCACGGGGAGUGUUACAGCUCUUAAGGUGGCACAUCUGGAGUUUGUUCCUUCUGACGUUCAGAUGUGUUCGGAGUUUCUUCCUUCUGGUGGGUUCGUGAUCUCGCUGGCUCAGGAGUGAAGCUGCAGACCUUCAGGGGGAGUGUUACAGCUCUUAAGGUGGCGCGUCUGGAGUUUCUUCCUUCUGGUGGGUUCGUGAUCUCGCUGGCUCAGGAGUGAAGCUGCAGACCUUCACGGGUCAGAUGAAAGUGAGAUCCAUACAUCCUUCUUCAGCAACUUGUGCCUCUGCUCUGCACCUCCCGCAAUUAACUACUGAAAAAAGAACACAGCUUCACAAAAGAGAUUGUAAAAUCAGGAAGUAUAUCUAAGUCACCUCCAGUAGCCGUAACUCUACCUUGUCCAGUAAAAGGAUAAUUCUGGCAGCUAUUGAAAACAGACUGAAGAGAAGAAAGAAGAUUUGGAGGAAUAUGUAUCCAAGAUUGAUGAUGGUGGCUCAGAUCAGUGCUGCUUGUUGCUGACGUUUCUGCCCAAACAUCAUGAAAUGUGGAGAAGAAAGAACACUCAGAUGUGCCCUGGAGACUUUCCUUUUAUUUUUAAACAGGUUUUCUGCAUGCUCUUUUUAAUAUCAUUUGAAUGUCAUUCUCAUUCCUGAAUACAUCUAGAUUCACAUGCUCAAAAUCUAAAAGAUUCAUAAGGAUAAACCCUGGAAAGACUCUCUCCCUCUCGGAUACCAGCCGUGACCUACAUGCUGUUUAAAUUAGUCUCUAGUCUUCAGCCCUCACCAGUGCACAAGUGAGCUGGCAACAUCUCUCACCCUUAUUCCUCCUCCUGUGGCAUGAUCCAGGCUUUCCUAAAUCAGGGCACUGGAAAGAUUGCCUUCAGGAGCCACUAGUGUUGAUCUCAACUCUAUACUUUAAUGCUCUACUAUUGCUCUUGUUGCUAUAGCUAACGUUGCUAAAGGGUAACCUUGAGGAGACCUUCGUUUUAGCUGUUACGUCAGCAUCAUGCCUGUUACCAUGGGUAUUCUAGUGGGUGGUGUUGCUGCUGUAGUGUAACUGCCCAGUGGGUUCUUCUUGUCUGCUCUCCAGAUACAGUCAAUUUAUCAAGGCAGGGGAAUUGCAAUAAACUCUUUAAUUUGCACAAAGGCAGCUGAACAGGAGACCAGAGUUUUAUUGUCAGUCAGAUUAGUCUCCCAGAGAAUUUGAGGGCCGGGAUUUUUCCAAGGUGGUUUGUGGGGAGGGGUUUGGGCGGUUAGGCAAUGUGUGCUUGCUGCUGAUUUGUUGGAGGCAUAACCAUGUGGGAAAUGGUCCUCUUGCAUGCUGAGUCACGUCUCUGUGGGGCCACAGGAGGAGUUGGUGGGUCCGGGCGGAGCCAUUGGUGUCCAACAUACAAAAAAACAUGAAAAGAUAUCUCAAAAGGCUAAUUUUAGGUUCCACAAUGGUGAUGUUAUCUGCAGGAAUAAUUGGGGAAGUUGCAUAUCUUGUGAACACUUGUAUAUAAUGGCUGGCAACUGUUUAUGUCUACACUUAGCAGAAUUCAGGCUUCUCCAUCCACCUAGCCUGGUGGUGUCUCAUUAACUUUACAAAGGUGGUUGAGUUUUGGGGAAGGGCUAUUAUCAUUUAAACUAUAAACUAAAUGGCUCCCAAAGUUAUCUUGGCCUAAGCCCAGGAAUAAUUAAAGGCAGCUUGAAGGCCAAAGGAAAGAUGGGGUUUAGCCAGAUCAGAUCUUCACUGCCAUUAUUUUGCCAUUAUUGUAAUUUUUGCAAAGGCAGUUACACUAGCAAGGACUAUAUCUUAAGUGACCAUGGAACAUCAUUUGAAAUGACACACCUUUGAGCCAAAGUCGAUGUUAUCAAUGUUCAUACUGGGCAAACAGGUAUCAACUGAGCAAGCUGGCACCUAUGGUCAACUUAAUUGUAGCAGGGGCUUUCUGUGCACCAACAUUAGAUUCAUUAGAUUUUAUUUCCUUGAUUUCUUACAGCCUGCUUUCUUAAAGACUUCAGAAGAAGUUCAUCUGAGUGAAUGGGGAGAAAAUAGGAUACUAUUAAGGCUAAAUCCAUCCAAGCCAUAUUUUAAUUGAUACAAAACCUGAACACCUAUGGUACACGCUGAGUGGUUGGGAAUUAGUGUUUGUUUUCACUUUUGCCAGAGUCUUAAUUAUAGUUCUAUGGUGUUUGGGGUUGCCAAUUGUUCUAAAUCUCCUUUGUCUUGUCUACUAAGAAGCCCAUUAAAUUUGUGUAAGGUGAAACUGGAGGCUGCAAAGAAUAGCCAAAGGAGCAGCUUCCAAGGGCCUAAGAUUGAAGCUUCUUUCAUGUUCUGUCAAAGAAAUUCUACACUUAAGGGAAGGUGUGGUGCCAGACCUUUCCUUUAUAGCUUUAGCUAUAUGUUGUAAUUGUCUUUUUUCUGAUUUAAUUUUAUAUUUAGGGAUCAUAGGAGGAAUUUGAUUUUGGAGGGCCUUUGAUUUUAUUAACAUUUUAUGAUAUAUUAAGGGUGUGGAAAGAAAAAUUUUUGGUUCCCCAAAUCACUAAGCUAAAGGAAGAAAUCAAGCUGGGAAGUGCUUAGGGCAAACCUGCCUCCCAUUUUUUUCUUUUUCUUUUUUUUCUUUUUUUGAGAUGGAGUCUUGCUCUGUCACUCAGGCUGGAGUGCAGUGGCAUGAUCUCGACUCACUGCAACCUCUGCUUCCUGGGUUCAGGCAAUUCUCCUGCCUCAACCUCCCGAAUAGCCAGGAUUACAGGUGCCAACCACCAUGCCCAGCUAAUUUUUUGUAUUUUUAGUAGAGACGGGGUUUCACCAUGUUGGCCAGGAUGGUCUUGAACUCCUGACCUCGUGAUCUGCCCACCUCGGCCUCCCAGAGUGCUGGGAUUACAGUUGUGAGCCUCCCCACCUGGCCUCCUGCCUCCCAUUCUAAAGUCAUCCCUCUGAUCACUGAGAUAAAUGCAUAUCUGAUUGCCUCCUUUGGAAAAGCUAAACAGAAACUCAAAAGAAUGCAACCAUUUGUCUCUCACCUGGAAGCCCCCUCCCUGCUUCAAGUUGUCCUGCCUUUCUGGAGAGAACCAAUGUACGUCUUACAUAUUUUGCUUGAUGUCUCACAUCUUCCUAAAAAGUAUAAAACCAAGCUAUGGUCUGACCACCUUGGAAACAUGUCCUCAGGACCUCCCGAGGCUGUGUCAUGGGCACGUGUCAGCGACCUUGGCAAAAUAGACAUUCUAAAUUAACUGAGAGCUGUUUUGGAUAUUCGAAGUUCACAUUUUGGUACCCAUGAAGGUAUUCUGAGUGGAGGUUCCCCUGACCUUUGGCAAAUCUCCUAUCAGUGUUUGGUACCAGCCUGAGCUAUCUUUAUGGCUCAAACCAAUAGGACAAUUCAUGAUCUCCCAAAAUGUGAUUGUGAUCUAAAGUUUAUUUUGCUGUACAACUCCUUUUUUAAGGAGUUUUAGUUGCUUCCAAGACAAAGAAGGCAAGUUUUUCCUGCUUCCAUGAUGCUGGAAGGCAGGUAACUCCUUUAAGGAGUUUGAGCUAGCGUUCAGCAGGGAAAAUGAGCUUGAGUUUUUUCCUGCUUCUAGUAUGGUAGAGAGCAGUCUUCAACCUGAUACCCAUCCCUAGGUAAGUAACUGAAUUGGGGUUUGUCUUGCUAAAGUUAAGUUUAACAACCAGCUGGUCUUAAUUUCUCCUUACCAUUAGAGCACUCCAUAAUUGUGUGAGUUGUGCAAUUGCUUUGCUUAACUUUGGUUUGUUUCUGUUUUUGUUAUUGUUUCAGUUUUUUUUUCCAUUGGGUUUGACCAACUCUAUAUUCGACUUGAACAAAUCCGAAGGAAAGCUUCCAAUUAUGGGGAACAAGUCCUCUGAAGUGGCUAAAUUCCCACACACACAAAAGAAAAGGUAGGGUGGUGGGGGGGAGAAAAACAGCCAGCAAAAGGAAAAAAAAAAAAGGAAAGAUUUUUGAUUUUGACUACUUAAGGGGCUUUAUUUACAUAACAAGGCCACCUAUUUGGUAGCCAGGCCAAACUGAAAGAGCAACGGCUGUCGCCCCAUGCUGCAGUUCCAUAGCUAAGGUUCUGCUUUCUUUUUUUCACCACAACAGUCUGGGUUUGGUUCCUAAAUCAAGCCCUUUCUGGUUUGAUACUUGGUACUUCUGAAAUAGCAGUAAUUUGUCCCAGCUGAAAUAUGGUAAUGAGAUUUAAAAAGUUUUUUUUAAAGGACCUCAAUGGUUAAAAGUCAGCUUAAUUAAAAGCCAACAUACAAGAUGUGUGUGUGUGUGUGUGUGUGUGUGUGUGUGUGUGUGCACGCGUGCGGGCGCAUGUGUUUAUUUAAAAGGCUUUCAUGUUUUUUUUGUUUUGUUUUCCUAAGAAUUGGUUAGAACAAUGAAAUUUUCUUAAAUGGUUGAUUGACUUAAUAAAUUAUAAGAUAUUUUAAUUUUUUUAACCCAAAGUUUAACUUGUAUUGCAUCUCGCCAUUUUCAGUUUUCUCUCCCCUUUUAAAAGGCACGAAAUGGUUACUCUCUCCUUCACCUGUGCUUUGAGUAGCCCCACCUUUCUGGACGGAACCAAUGUACAUCCUAUAUAUAUUGAUUGAUGUCUCAUGUCUGCCUAAAAUGUAUAAAACCAAGCCAUGCCCAACCACGUUGGGCAUAUGUCGUCAGGACCUCCUAAGGCUGUGUCAUGGGCACAUGUCCUCAACCUUGGCAAAAUCAACUUUCUAAAUUAACUGAGACCUGUCUCAGAUAUUCGGGUUCACAAGAGUAACAAAAAUUAACUUGAUAACAUAUGACAUAACUUGAUAACAUUAUGACAGAACAUAAUAUUUGAAGGCUCUACCUGACCUGAUUUAGACAUCUGAAAACCACUGCUUGAAAGACCUGGAUCAAUUAAAUUCAAAUAUUUUAAGUAUCUAAAAAGUUAAAUUGGAAACUGAAAAGACAUGCUUGUCUUAUGCUUCACAAAGAUGCCUAAGCACUGGAUUUUUGAAUGUGGAAUUAUUCUACAUAGUACUCCUGAGCUCUCAACAUUAGGCAGCCUACCACGUCGAAAUGGUAUAAUCAAUCCAUAGAUGAACACUCCUAAAGAAAACGAAUGUUCCCAAAUUCCACAAAGAUCGAUGAUGUCUCUGAAAGGAUGGCAUAUACUUUGUGACAGAGUAAGAUUUCUUCUCUGUCUUGGGAGCCAACGACUGCAGUCACAUUGCUAUUCAAGUAGUGGUAGUUAAUGAUUUAAUCUUUAUUAAUAGGAGAAAAGAUUCCAUUUGUUUAAUAUGCAGGUUAUUUGUGAUGCUAAAUGCAAUGUAAUUGAUGUAAUUUAAAAGUUUCAGAGAUAAUGUCAUGAUUAAUUCAUCUGUAAACAAUCUGGCAUCUUUCAUUUUAUUGAGGCAGGCAAAUUUUUUAACUAGCUGAAAUGUGAGUAAGAACAUUUAUGACAACAAUUAUCAUUUAAAAAUACAAUGCAGUAUGAAAGAUGAAUGUCCUACAGGGCAUUGCACAUUUGCUGUAAGGUCUUAAGAGCUGUAAUUUGGCAUGACUCAUUGUCUCUGUAUGAAAGAAACACGAGGGCAGCAUAACUAGCGUUGUGUCUUUGGACUGAAUAAGGUUUUAGAAUUUCAUGAAGGAGAUCACUGAGUAUAUUUCAAGGGUCAAUUUCUUGAGAGUUUUGCUGCCCCUAUGCAACUAUUCAUUCAUUUAAUCAUUUAUUCAUCCAUUCAAUGAAUAUCAUGGAGUGCCUUUUAAAGGACAAGUGCUUCGGAAGAACUGGGGAUAUGUAUAUAUAGAUUGUUUCUGCCACCAAAGAACACCUAAAGUAUUAAAGAGUAUAGUUUAAGUAAGAUUCAAUUAAUAUCCCAUGAAAUACAUAAAAUGGAUACCAUGGGAGCAAUAAAAGAAGGCAUUUAGCCCAGGCUUGGGAGACAGGCUGAUCAGAAGCUGCUGGAGGAAUUGACAUGUGAAAACUGUAUCUUAUUAAAGGAUGCAGAUAAAGUCACUGAAAAGUUAUCCAGGCAGAGAAGAUGACAUACAAAUGCAAGAGGUUUAAAAACAAAGCAAAACAAAACAAUAUGUGUUAUUUGUGAGCCGUACCACAUGUUUGGUGAUGUUGGAGAGCAAUGUGCAAGGCAAGAAAUGUUGCAGAGCAAGUUCGGGGGUAGAAAGAUUCUAGAAUGUGGAGGGUCAUGUGGACUCUAUUAUAUAAUUUAGAAUUUAUUCUAUAGAUUAUAUAGACCCAUGAGAGCACUAUUUGUUUAGGUAGAUUACUUUAGGGCUUUGAAAGGGAUGAGACUAGAGGUGCAGAGAAACUAUUUAGUAUCGUGAUGAUGUAAUCUGGGGAAAAAAUGAUACAGGCAUAAUUACCACUGGGCUAUGGCCGUAAUUUGGGAGUGAAUAAGAAAAUUGAGCCUAAAUUUGCAGUUUCAAAAGAAUAGAGAUUAAAGGCAGAAUAAAUAGGGGGAUUUCAACAUAUAGUGAAGUAAGGGUUUAAGUAGAGGGCACAGAAAGAAGAGCCCAUAAAGAUGACAAAAAAAAAAUGAUGAGAAAAACACUCCAACAAUUAAGAGAGUGUUAUAAAAUCUAAGGAACAAGGAACUAACAAAGUUCUAAUGAUGUGGUAAAAAUAAGAAAGAUAGCUUUAACUAUUAGAUUAUCCAUCAAUAACUUUGGAAAAACAGUUUCGGUGGAAUACUAUGGGUAGAAUACAAAUUUCUGUGGGUAGUGUAGUGGAUAGAAUUGGGAGUUGAAGACAUGGAGAUGCAGUAUUGAUAGUUGUGUCCCUGAGAGCACGUAGCCUGGACGCUGGAUGUCCUGGAUCCUCAGCUUGCCACUGGCCAUGGCCAAUGUUGUAGUGAGAUAUAUUAAAAAGCAGCCAAAUGGUUACGCAUUAUUAUUGGCUAAAACUUUUACCCCAAACUCCAAUGUAUUCAUCUACUGAAAUAAACCAAAUUGAUGAUGCAACUCCUCAAACGCAGACCUGCCUGUAAAAAGAGUUGGGUCAGUGAAUUGUGGUGAGAAAGUGGGUAUUAACUUCAGGAGUUGCACCUGUGAUGAAAGAAUAAGUGUGGAAUAAAGUCAUAUAUCAACACAUUAAGUCCAAGUGUGGAAUAAAGUUAUAUAUCAACAGAUUAAGACCAAGCAGGUGGGCUUUCUUUUUGUGGAAGGUGGGUUAGGAAUGUUUAUUUUUUAAAUGUAGUGUUUUCUAAGCUAUUUACAAAUGUUAACUAUUUAAGCGUUUUUUUUUAAUUUAAUUUGAUGAGGUAGAAAUUAUUGUUGUAGACGAGUAAAUAGAAACACAGAAAGAGUAAGUAAAUUGCCCAAAGUCACUCACACAUAUUUGAGUAGAAGUGUCAGGAUUUGAACUCAGGCAGUCUGGCUUCAGAGUCUCUGCUCUUCCAUGCUGUAAAUACACUAUAUUGUAUAGGUUUUUUUAAAUAUGUAUUUAUUAAUAAGGACAUAGAGUAGUGAAUUAAAGGCAUCACUUGGAAUCUCCUAAAUCCAGUUUUGCUUAAUAAUAAUUAAAGAGAUCCUUUAAUUAAGAACUUUAGGCCAGGUGCAGUGUCUCAUGCCUGUAAUCCCAGUACUUUGGGAGGCCACGGUGGGAGGAUCACUUCAGGUCAGGAGUUCAAGACUAGCCUGGCUAACAUGGUGAAACCUCAUCUCUACUAAAAACGCAAAAAUUAACUGGGUGUAGUGGAGCACGCCUGUAAUCCCAGCUACUCUACUCAGGAGGCUGAGGCAGGAGAAUUGCUUGAACCCAGGAGGCAGAGGUUGCAGUGAGCCUAGAUUGUGCCACUGCACUCCAGCCUGGGCGACAGGGCGAGACUCCAUCUCAAAAAAAAAAAAAAAAAAAGAACUUUAGACACACAAUCACAGUUUAAUUAUAAAAAACUAAACUCACAUCAUAUAAUGAGUUCCUAUAUCAAGUUAUCUAUAAUGUCAAAAAUAACACACAGGGGCAUUAAACUAUUUAUUCAAACCUAGCACUGAGUUUAUAAAAUAGAUUACCUUCGAGAAUAAGAAAUCCAGGACUGGAAGAGAAUGCAAACAUUUUGGAAUGAGCAUUUAGAAAAAUGAGACAAUGUGAUGGGGAUUUAACUAGAGAUUAGUAUAAGGCAUGUUAAUCAGCUACGAAGUCUGACUGAGUCUGACCAGCAUACAUUGGCAGUGGACCAACUGGCCUGGCUUUAUGACUCGACUUUCACUAGCAACAGUCAAUAGAGCAGGAAGAUAUGUGCAUAUGUAUCCAUGUGUCUGUGUGUCAGGGGUUGAGGGAGCAAAUGAUCCUUUCUACAAUCAGGGUUGCUGAAGGGAAAGGCAGUAAGGCAGAUGGAUAAGAGAGCAACUGGAAUUUUAGGAAUAUAUAUUUACAUAGUUUUGUACAGUUCAGUAAUAAUCCAGAUAAAUUGCUUAGGCCAGAUGGUUGGUUUAUCAAGCCAUGCAGUGUGCCUUUUUGUAUGCAAAUGAAAUGUCUACAUAUCAAGAGAGCCUUGGGCAGAAUCCAAAAUGGAGCAGCCAAUUUGCCCUAAAAGGUGAUAAAUUUAGGACCCAGAGAGGAGAAUACUGGAGGUUGACAAUAUUGUUUCCUAAUAUGUCCUAGUGAUUUAAUUUUAAUAAAUUGAUGUGAACUUGCUGGUCAUCUAAUUGUUCUCUAAUAGAUGUAUUGUAGAGACUUUUUUUUUUUGCAUAAGUAUGGCGCAGAGGAGGCUAAUAAAACUAAAGUUUUCUGCAAUUUUAGGUUGAUUCAAACCAUUUCAAUUUCAAUUUCUCAAAAGCUCAUCAUUGGGAGACAAUUAAAGAGCCCCUAAAUGAUUAUGAAAUUGCAAAUUAUCACAAUAGCCUCAAAGAAAUGCCUAUCAGAUCAAAGUUGGGGAAGAAAGCACAGUUGAGUAGAAUGAGAGAGAAUCCUGAAGAUAAUGAUUAAGCCAAUGACGGCUACUUCACCUGAAAUCUCUGCCACCCUCAAUAAAUGUGUGCUUUAUCAAGUAAUUCUUUCUCCUUUGACUAGGGUGGGAUAGGGGAAAGGUGGCUCUCAAGUUGCUUCAAAAGAAGAGCUGGCAAUUCAAAUAUUUUCUUGAUAAUUUAGGAUUGGGAAGUCACGUUGCUGAGUUUUCUAUGAUUAGAAACUAAAGGAAAAUUUGAAAGAGAGAUAAAGUAUAAAACAGCAUAAAUUAUGGCUAAACAAAGGAUUCCUUCUGGAAAAGGGAAGAGGAUAGGGCAGAAAUUCCAUGAGUGACAGAUCAAGCAGCCCCUGAAGUUGUUUUACAAAAAGAAAUUAGUGAUCUUGGUGAAGUGGGUUAUCUAAUCAUUUUGGUAAACUCUUCGGUUCCCUCCCUUCUGAGCCCUUGCCACAAAAACUAAACAUAUGACCCAAGCCUCACCAAAUAUAUUACUUCAUUUGCCCGGCAACAAUGAUUGGUCCAAGGCAUAAGCAUGUGACCCAAGCAGGACCAAUCACAUUUUGUCCCCUGGGGUUGUUAUUUGGUCAUUGAUAGGAGGAAAUACUUUUACCCCUGAGGAUUGCUAGACUGAGAUGCUGGUAGUAAUAGUAAUCUUCCCUAGUCACUGGAGGUAGCCUGUGUGCAGUAGGAGAGAAAGAGAUCUGUCCCACGGAAAGAGAAACAAAAGUCAAAAUGCGAAACAAAUGGAGAGGGGGUCUUCAUUCCUAUCCAAGAAGCUCUGACUGUGUAGCCUCAAUUCUGUAAGCUACACUUGAAAUCAGGUAUUCUGACUUGGUUAAUGACAUCUUUCAGGUCCCAGUUUUAAGUCCUAUACUCAUCUAAACAAAAUUAGCCACCCAAAAAUCAUGAGUCACUCCCCACCUCGCCAGUCACCCAAGAGUGUGUUCUUUGUAAAAAGAGCAUCACUAAGUAAAAUGGGAGCUUAAGAAAUCAAAUCAUAGAAGGCUGUGGUCAGAAAGAAGAAUUUCUGAAUUGAAGAGCUUGAUCACGCAGCAAUUCUGAGAGAUGGUGAGAUCUAACAGAAGCAAUGAGGUUGUUUAGAUACUAUCAAUGCAUACUUUCUGGGGUCAUGAGAAUGAUAUCUCAGAGACACGGGUAGAAAAUGUCUUGUUGUUUCAUUUAGAAAAUCAUUCAGAGGAAAAGGAAAUUAGAGGUUAAUAGGACCUAGCAAUGAGGAUUUUUAGACAAUAGUAUAGGAAAUCAGAAGGGAAAAGCUGUUGAACCAUAAUGGAGGAGCAAAAUACCAGAUGAAGCAGCGAUACGGUAAUGAAAUCUACAAAACACAUUGAGUGUCAGGUACAGGCAGAACAUUAGAUUAUUUCUAUUUUAAAUUUUAUAGUGCAAGUGAAAAGUUGUUUGUUUUUGUUUUUCAUUUUUGCUAUUUGGGGUAACAAAGAGAACAUUUAUGAAGAAGAGAAAGACACUCCAUUAGGAACAGAGUCUGCAGAAAUAGUACAAUUUAUGUCCAGAGAGAACUUUGCUUGUGAGGGCUGCCUACUUGAUGCGAAUGUUGUUUGAUGGCUAUCACUUUGAUUUCCACAGGAACCAUAGAGAUAUUCCAAGACCAACGGUGUGGCUAAGUAUAAAGUAAUGGGGUCUCUAAAUUAAUGUCCACUUGGUGGCAGUAGACUGUGGUUUUUAUUAAUAACACUAGUCUUUAAAUAUAUUUGUGGUAUAUUUAAUUACCACUGAAAUCUUAAGAUUUUGCUACGCAAACUGUUAUUUCCAAUAUGUACAUAUCUUAGAGAAUCAUUUAUUGUAAUUGUUUUCUUUUCCAGAUGAGUCUAUGCCCAGGACCACCAGAUAAUUGAGUCCUGUACAAAAGCUUCUGACUAAACAAUGUGCUCUGGCUCAGGACUAUACAGAGAAAAGACACAGUUUUUAAAUUGAUCGUUCAAAAGGAAACAUAUUUAUGAUAUUUGCUCCAUGAUAUGUAUCUCUCAUCUGUUAGCUCAGGCAGAAUUAAAAUGCUAGACAAUAAUGUUCCAUGCCACUAUGCUUACUCGGGUCUCUCACAUUGGUGUACUUCUGGCACAAAGUCACAUGACAUUUGAGUAAUAGCUGUCUCCCAUGUGGACUUUACACCACAUGAUGUCAGGGGCCAUUCAUUCUAUUCCAAUUACAUAAAUCAUAGAUUAGGAUAGGUCUUGGCAAGGACUGGGUACUAUAUGAAUAUUUUUGAGUAAAUGUAUGAGCACAAAAUAUUUUAUGUGGUUAUGUAUCUAGUAAAACAUGCAAGGCUAACAUAUCCUCUUUCAUUAGACUUCAAGAAAACUCCAGCGAAUAUUUAUCAGAAAAAGAAAACCAGGAAAAAUGAAAGAAGUAAUAAAAUUAAAAUCUCGUACAGACCAAAAAUAAAUGAUACAGAGCAUUUAGGUAGUCAGAAGCUGUGCUAACUGGUUUCCAAACAAGGUAAAGAACAGCCUGCUAGGAACACACUGUAUCUCAAAGGGCAAAACAAUAACGUCAAACCUUUCUCCUCUGCAUUGCAAAUACCAUUUGCAUUUCAAUGACACUACACUCUAAAGAAUAUGCUCUACUAAGUUUGUUAGAUAAGCCGCAUGUGCUGUGUUUCAAAUCACAUAGUAAUAAAAGUGUUCCAGUUCUUUGAUAGAUUUACGUAAUUCCCUAACUGGACUACCAUUGAUUCCCCUUAAGAAAGGUAUAUAGACUCUCUAUGAAAAAUAGAGUUUCUUAAAUCCAGCUUCCUAUGUGGAAAGUAUUAUUACUUUAUAGGAAAAUAAUUUCUAGCUGUUUUCCUGUUGUUCCCAAGAGUCUUUCCAAUUUCUUUAUAUAUCUGUCUUAGAAUGUUCAAUUUUCUCAAGCCCCUUAAAAAAUCAUUCUUGCUUUUCUACUCAUUUCCACUUGUUAAACUUGACCCAGUUUUCUCUUGGUUUCAUAUUUUACCAUUCAACUUUUAUUCCACUCUCUACCCUCUCCAACUCCCCUAAAUAAAUUGUUUUUUCAGGUCAUAAUACCCCUAUUUGUUUUUCCUACACAACGGGUAAGCUCAGAUGGAACAUUAUCGAAUGGUGAAAAGCAUAAGUUUGUCUUAGGACACAAAGUUUCUAACAAAGAUUGAUUCUUCUCAUAUGAAAUAACUGCUUCUUUAUACUUUUCAUGGCAUUUUAGAAUACAGGGUAGGAUUGCAGUCCCUGAAAUGUACCAAUUCUGAAUUAAACUAAUUAAUUAAUUAAUUUUCUUAGCACCCCACAGAGAUUGUGCCAUCACUUUUUUGUAUCAUGCUGCCCCUGAUUUUCCUCCUAGUGGGCCCGAAACAUCCAUCUUUCCACGAGUGUGGUCAGGAGAUUAGGACUGUUAUAAAUGAAGUGCAAAGAGAUUUACUAUUCCAAGCAGAAUUUUGCAGUCAGUAAGAUGUUAAAGAUUAUCUAAAGAAUAUCAAGUCAAAUCCAGAAGUCUCAGCUGAAGGUGUUUCUUCUUUAACAUACAGAUUUUAUACUGCCCAUCAAUGAGGGUAGGCCUUGGGACAGAUUUAUUCUAAGAAAUGAGGAUAGAGUAGAGAAAGAAAAAGUCUGAAGCUCUUCUUAUGGGGCUGCAGAGCUGGGAGACUUUCAGAAAUAUGAGAAAGGAAAUAAGAGAGGCAGAUGACACAUGAGUUUUCAUGUUUUCUCUCCAAACAGAUAGGCAGUCUGGAAAAGCUAAGGAUGUGGGCUUUUGACUAGAAUAAUGUUUGGGACUCUGAAAGGGGUUUGCCUUGGAUGACUGCCCUGCACAGCUUCAAGAUGGCCACAUCGGGGGAAACACAGUGGCACAGUGUGGUGACAGAGGGCUGAUGUUCAGUAUCUGAGUCAUUCUUCAUGUGUGGCAUGAAUAGAGCUAUUUGUUCUAAGGAGGGACUUUGGAGGUGGCUAAAUGGAGUUGGAUAGUCUGCCAUGUGGCCAGUUUUGUUGGUGAUUCUGCAGAUGAACUACCUGCACCAGGAGUCUGAGGGAGGAUGUUACAGGAAUGCAGAGAGGUCUACAGUACAAGUAGGAGUUAAAAUGAGGUCAACUCUCAGCCUGGCAUGGUGACUUGGGCCUGUAAUCCCAGAAUUUUGGGAGUCUGAGGUGGGAGGAUUGCUUGAGCUCAGGAGUUUGAGACCAGCCUGGGCAACAUAGCCAAACCAUCUCUACAAAAAAUAAAAAAAUUAUGUGAGUGUGGUGGUGAGCACCUGUAGAUCCAGCUACUUGGGAGGCUGAAGUGGGAGGAGUGCUUGAGCCUGGGAGGCCAAGGCUGCAGUGAGCCAUGAUUGCAUCACUGCAGUCCAGCCUGAGUGACAGAGCAAAACCCUGUCUCAAAAAAAAAAAAAAAAAAUGAGGUCAACUCAGCCACUGAUUACUGCUAGAUGCUGACCAAGUUAGAGAGGACAACCCAGUGGAUUAAACCUUUCUCCAAAUUAAGCCACAUUGCUAGCAUGUCAGUGAUGAUCAAGAGGUCAAAGUAGUGAGUGAGGGCUAAAGAAGUGAGAGCACACUUAAUAUCAGAAAUAUUUCAGUCCAUGGGCAAAAGGAUAUUCUUACCAUGGGUAAGAGGAGGAAGUUUGCAGAAAUCUGAAACACUGAAACAAUUCUCUUAAAGACACUGGGAAAGGCUUCAGUGUCCAAACUGUUUUAAACCAAAUGAGUCUGUUUUUAAUUUUUUCUCCAACUGGAGAAAAUUGAAAAUUGUUUUGGUUGGGGCCAAGGGUGAAGGAGUCUUGAAGAACAUUGGAUCAGAUAUACCAAAUGACCAAUUUGAUAGAUUGAUUGAUUGACUAAUUUUUUUUUAAACUUUUAAGUUACUAUGGGAGUAAAUUCAUUACUUUGCUACAAAUGUUGUGGGAAAGUGGACAAGUCAAUGCACUACUGUGAAUACUUAUUCACUAAUUCACGUUUCCAUUUGGAAAAAUAAAGGAGUUGGGCUGCAUAAUUCUUAAGGUCUUCUUUAGUUGAGAGAACCUAUAUGUAUUUAUAGUCUGUCCUUCUUAUGUAGAGAACACGAAUGUCUAAUUAUUUACAUUUAUUUUUAUGAUAGAAUUAAAACGAUGUAUUAAGCUGGCCUUUUUUCAGACAUACUUGCAACCAGAGUCAUCAAUUUUGAAGACAGCAACCAAGCCAAGCAAUGUGAGGUUACAGCUAUGAAAUAGAACAGAGAUGUCUAGACUAUAGACACAGCCUGCCGUUUUGUGCUGAUUGGUAAAGUGUUCCAGCCAACUGGAAGCAAAUAUUUCUCAGAAGCAGUUUCCUGCUCUCAUCCUCUCCUCGCCAUGCCCACUGUGCCCAACAUGGCUCCAGCUGGGUCACAGAAGACUUUGUCCUGGAAUACAGCAUUUCCCUAUUUAAAUCUCUAACUUUGUAUGUACUCUUUUCAAUAAAAGCAUAUUUUUCAUUACCAUUCUGACCAUACUCCCUUCUCUGCUGGCUCCACAGCUAAGGUUUCUGCACCUGUUCCAUAACUUCUGGGAUCUGUCUCUGUUGCUGCACGUAUGCAUUCCAUAAGCAUUAAUAGAUCCAUUCACUCUUCUGAAAUCUGGGCAGCUUAAAUCAUAUUACAUCUAACGUAUUUUUACUAGAGUCAGUUCUACCCCCCGACUCUUGAGUGCACACACAGGCACUUCUCUGUAAGUUCCUUGAGGUCAGAAAUAGUCCCCUAGUCAGCCUUCUGCCUUCUGUAGUUCCUGGUCCAUCAAGGUGCAGAGUACAUAUUCCACAGAUAAAUAGAUAACUCUCAUUCAAUGCUCUGAUCUUUCCUUUAUCUUGUUUCCCUGGAUAUUCCUCUUUCACGGCUCUUUUCUAUUUAAUUUACCCACAUACUCCUCUAAUUCCAUUCACUUACUUUCAACCAAUUCUUUUCAUUGCUUAUAAACAGAUGUUUAGACAGUUUGUAGACAUGAUCAGUAAUAUGAGUCAACAUUUUAUCACUGCAGGAUGGUGUUAGAAAAUUACAUCUUAAAUUACUUUGUGACCAAGCUUUUAUAAAAUUUGCCCUUAGAUAGCUAUCCAGAG